rnacentral:lncRNA from 1 species
AUGGCAAGAGAAAUCAGCAAAAUCAUUAGCCCGUUAUUAGGAAACACAGAUCAACACUGCAAAAAUAGUAUAGAACUGGCAAAAGAACUAAAAAAGAUUACAAUAGAAGAUAACGACACGCUCAUCUCACAUGACGUCACAUCUCUGUUCACAAAAACACCAACCCAAAAAACCGUAGACAUAGUAGUUAACAGAAUCAGACAAGACAAAACUUUACAUAAAAGAACAAACCUCACAGCAGAUGACAUAGCACAACUGAUAGGACUGGUAGCUAACUCCACUUACUUCACAUACAAUGGCAUAAAAUACAAACAACUGGAAGGCUUCGCCAUGGGUAACCCGUUAUCAGCCACCCUGUGCCAGUUUUUCAUGGAAGACCUAGAACAAAAAGCCAUAGCCACCGCCCCCCCAAACUGCAAAAUAAAACUAUGGAAACGCUACGUAGACGACACAUUGGAAAUCAUACCAAAAGGUCAAACAGGAACACUAACACAACACUUGAAUAACAUGGACGACACAGGCAGCAUAAAAUUCACUUAUGAGUUAGAAACAGAAGGCAGCAUAGCAUUUAUGGACAUGAAAAUCACCAGGCAGACCGACGGGACCCUAAACAUAAACACAUACAGGAAACCAACACACACAGACCAAUAUCUAUUAUGGACAUCAGAACACCCCACCAUACACAAAAUGUCAGUAAUCAGAACAUUAUAUCACCGAGCAAACAUAAUAACAGAAGAGAGAGACCGUAAACAAGAGGACAAACACAUACAACACGCUUUAAAGACCUGCAGAUACCCGACAUGGGCAAUAAACAAAGGAAAACAACAAACAAAAACAGAAAGCAAAGAACAACCCAAAAAAAGAACCAGAAACCCAGAAAGACAAGAACCAAAACCAGUGAUAACCCUACCAUACAUCAGAGGCAUAACGGAAAAAAUAAGAGCAACAAUGAAAAAACACAACAUAAACACACCAACAAAGCCAUACACAACAGUUAGAAACAGACUAGUACACCCAAAAGACAAAAUAUCAGCUGGACAAAAAUGUGGAGUCAUCUACGAAAUCCCAUGCAAAAUAUGCAAUAAAACAUACAUAGGAGAAACCGGACGCCAACUCAAUACACGGACAAUAGAACACAGAAAGGAGUGCGAGAAAGAGGCAAAUCGUAAACACACAAGAGCAGCAAAAGAAGAAGCAGAAAGUACAAUAAAAAAGUCAGCCGUAACAGAUCAUUGCUUAAGAGAAAACCAUAUAAUGGACUGGGACAGCACACGGAUCAUAACCACCGAACAACAAAAAUACAAAAGAUGGAUCAAGGAAGCAAUCGAGAUAAGGAGACGUGGAUGUGGGACCAUGAACAGAGACGAUGGAGUUUACACGCUGGAUCGCGCAUGGGACUGCAUCAUCGGAGAGGGGAGAGCGGGCAGCAGAGGGCGACAACGUCCUCUGCUGCCCGCGGAUAAACGGAGAAGGAAGUGA